GCUCGGCUCGGCCCGACAUGGGCACCGGCACGGGGCCGGAGGCGGGCCGAGGGUGCUGUGACCCCCGGCGCGGCCCUGCCCACCCGGCCGCCACCGGCAGCGGGCAGGGCGGCCGGACUUGGCGAAGUUGGCGGCAGCCGCGCUGAGCCCGGCUCCCCUUCGCUCCCCCGCCUCGGAGAGAGGCUGCUGUUUUUUUUUUUUUUUCUGAUUUUUUUUAUUAUUAUUUUUCGCUUCCGUCUCUCGCUCUUGCUUCAGCCAAGGUGAAUGGCCCGCGGUGGGCGCGGCUGUGGCGGGCGGCUGUGCAGCGGGAAGAUGCUGGCCGUGGGGGUGCUGGCCGGGCUGUCGGUGCUCAGCCUGCUCACCUACGGCUACCUGGCCUGGGACAGCCUCGGACUCGGCCCCGGAGGGACGGAGGCAGCGGGGAGCCGGCCGGGAGAGGAGCCGGGGGCCGGAGCCCCCAGCUCGCAGCCCCACAUCGUCUUCAUCCUGGCUGACGAUCAGGGAUUCAGAGACGUAGGUUACCACGGAUCCGAGAUCAGGACGCCCACUCUGGACAAGCUAGCUGCCGAAGGGGUUAAGCUGGAGAACUAUUAUGUUCAGCCUAUGUGCACACCGUCCAGAAGCCAAUUUAUCACUGGAAAGUACCAGAUACACACCGGCCUUCAGCACUCCAUCAUCCGGCCAACGCAGCCCAACUGCUUGCCUCUGGAUAACGUCACGCUACCUCAAAAGCUGAAGGAGGUUGGUUAUUCAACGCACAUGGUUGGCAAGUGGCACCUGGGGUUUUAUCGCAGAGAAUGCAUGCCCACACAGAGAGGAUUUGACACGUUCUUUGGCUCGCUCUUAGGCAGUGGUGACUAUUACACUCACUUCAAAUGUGACAGCCCUGGGAUAUGUGGCUAUGACCUGUACGAGAAUGAUAAUGCAGCUUGGGAUCAUGACAAUGGCAUCUACUCAACGCAGAUGUACACACAAAAAGUACAACAAAUCUUGGCGUCUCAUAAUCCCAGGAAACCUAUAUUCUUAUAUAUUGCUUACCAAGCCGUUCAUUCGCCUCUUCAGGCACCAGGCAAGUAUUUUGAGCAUUAUCGAUCAAUAAAUAACAUAAACAGGAGAAGAUAUGCUGCAAUGCUAGCUUGUUUGGAUGAAGCCAUAAACAAUGUAACCCUUGCUUUAAAGAAGUAUGGUUACUAUGACAAUAGCAUUAUCAUAUAUUCCUCAGAUAAUGGUGGGCAGCCAAUGGCGGGAGGAAGUAACUGGCCUCUGCGAGGGAGCAAAGGGACCUACUGGGAAGGAGGCAUCCGUGCUGUUGGCUUUGUCCAUAGCCCCCUUCUGAAAAACAAAGGGUCCGUGUGUAAGGAGCUGGUGCACAUCACAGACUGGUUCCCCACUUUGAUCACGCUGGCAGAAGGACAGAUCGAUGAAGACAUCCAGCUGGAUGGCUAUGAUAUAUGGGAAACCAUUAGCGAAGGCAGACGUUCUCCACGGGUAGACAUCUUACACAACAUCGAUCCAAUUUACACCAAAGCCAAAAACGGGUCCUGGGCAGCUGGCUAUGGGAUCUGGAACACCGCGAUUCAGUCCGCCAUCCGAGUGAAUCACUGGAAACUACUGACAGGAAAUCCUGGAUAUAGCGACUGGGUACCUCCACAGGCCUUCAGUAAUGUGGGCCCCAACCGCUGGCAUAACGAACGCGUCUCUUGGUCAGCUGGCAAAACUGUGUGGCUUUUCAACAUAACCGCUGAUCCAUAUGAACGGGUGGACCUCUCUGCACGAUAUCCAGAUGUAGUGAAGCAGCUGUUGCGGAGGCUUUCACAGUUUAAUAAGACUGCAGUUCCUGUUCGAUACCCACCUAAGGACCCUCGGAGUAACCCAAAGCUGAAUGGAGGAGUCUGGGGUCCAUGGUUUAAGGAGGACGAAAAGAAAAAGAAGUCAGAUAAAAGUAAAGGUGCGAACAAGCAGAAGAAGAAUAAGAACAAGAAAAAAGCAAAUCGGAAAAAAGGGCAAUCAUUACAUUGCCGUUCACGUCUUGCUGGUGGAUAGACUCAAGCACAUGGUCUUUUGCCAAGUCUAAGUCAGCUUGGCCCAACUUUCUUGAACUUCUCACAGAGUAUCCAGAAAUGCCAGCUCUGCACUAUGGAUGGAAGCUGUCAUCUUUUCAUUUGUUCUCAAAUUUCACCAGCACAAGAUACCUUGACACUGUGCCUUGAGUAUGUAUGAACAUCCACACGACAAACUUUCUCCUCUGCAGGAAGUAUGGUGCUCACCCAUCACAGCUACAUUCCAGAUAACAACACAGAUAACUUCAGAAAUCCCAUUUUUGAUGGACAAAUGGUGGUUCCUUGCAUAAAUUAGUCGGAACUUUUGGAGACUAGGGAGAGGUUAAAAUGGCAGAUGAUUUCAAACCGACCGAUGAUUCAUAGGGAGAAAGGAAAAACAAAACUUGAGAACCUCUGUAGGUCAGAGAGUGUUAGUCACCAACCUAUGACAUUUUUUGGUACAGCACAGCAAAAACAUGAAGCCAUCCGAAUAACUUUGGGGGGGGGGGGGGGUUGGGGAGAGGAGCCUGAUGGGAGGAAAGCUGCUUUAAAUUAGACUGUGUCUGUCAUAGAUAAACCAGAAAUACUUUUUAAAUUCCCGAAAGUGCUAAGCUCACCCCAUUUGUAGUAAAACCAGAAGGCUGUUAUUCAGCACACAUGAGCAGCUAGCACAUGCUGUGUAUAAUUUAUUAUAGGCAUAGGCAAAAGCACCAAAAAAAUCACCAAAGUGAAUGUAAUAUUUAAACACUUUAAGAUAGCUAUACUACAGUACAUAAAAGACAUAAUUUAUUUUACAGCACAAUACUUUUUUGUCUUCCAUUGCAACUUUAAUUAGUGGGUGAUGCAAGGUAGCCCUCUGGGUGCUAGGGUUGUUUGUUUGUUUGUUUCCUUUGAUUUUUAAUUUUAUUUUCACUCUAUCAUUCAGAGUUUUAUUUAACAGAUCCACAUCCUCAGAGUACUGUAAAACAAGAAAAUACUGUAGACACUGCUAGGAUGAGAAAGGAGAAUGAUUCAGGCAAAAUGUGAGUCCUUGAAAGCAAUCAGUGCAAAGCAGAACAGUGGAUCAGUGUCACAGUCUUGCAUGACUAUAUAUUAAAUAUAUGUGCCACAAGUUGACAGUUACACCUUUGGAAGGACCCACCUGAGCAGGGAGACAAUACUACUUGCUUUUCCAUGUGUUGUUGAUAGCUGUGAUCCUGGAUGAUCAUUUCUACACCAAAGCAGCCUGAAGAGUGAGAAGCUUAACUGCAGGGCAGAGAGGAAGAAAGAAAAACUUGAAACAAAACAAAACAGAAGAAUGAAAGCCUGUUCUUGUGAUCCGUGCACCCUGAACAUAGUAUAUCAUGCCAAAUUUCUUUUUAAAGUCCCAUCCGACUGGAUGAGAUCCCACUGACGUCUGUUUCCUUCUCCUCCAUGCCUACAAAGACCAGCAUGAGGACUUGUACUUGAAGACAGUCCUUAAAGUCCAGAUAAAAUCAUGUCUUUCUCAGAUAUGUCAUGGCUGUUCCUCAGAAGUACUCAGGCUUAUAUGGUAGACUUAUUAAAUACAGCGUCUUGCUAAAGACACAAGCAUGCUGGGUAGCCAUUUCCUAUACUUUAAUUCCCAUUUCAUUACUCAAACCUAGUAAAUUCUGUUUAACUAGAAGAUAAUGGUUACUUGGCUAAACUUCAAAAAAAGCAUCCAGUUCUGACUUAAAGCAGAAAAACAUGACUAAUCUAUUAAUUCCCAUUGUAAAUCUCUUGGAAUAUUUAAUAUCCGAGUUAAAAAUAUGUAUACCUUCUUCCUAAUUUCAUUUUUUUUGACUGGCUACAGAUUCCUGCCUUUUGAUACCUUUAUCCCCAAGACUAAGUAGUCCUUUAGCACCUGGUGUUUUAUUAUUGUACAUCUGUAUUCCAAUCUUUUUUUUUUUUUUUUUAAAGCUGAACAGAUGGGGUCCUUAGAGACUACGCAUUGUGUAGCACUUUCUCCAGUUCCUGAAUAGAAACCGAGGCUUUUUUUUACACAGCUUGUCCAGUUUUUCAGUAGACUAGGAAAAAUGUGGACAUCAGAAGUGGAUACAGUAUUCCAGUAUUAAUUUCAUUCAAGUGAUAUGAAGGAAGAAAUACCACCUCCUCAGAAGUAAGGAGUACUCCUCUGCCUCUGACAAAGUACAUGUCCUCUGUGACUCUCAAACUGAUUUGACGGUUGUCACCACCCCAGCCAUUCUUCCUGGGAGUGCAGCUGGAAGAAAAACACUGUUGGUGUAAUGUUGCCAACAAUCUCUCUUAUUCCCAGAGAUAAAGACGCAUUGAUGACUCUCUUCCAAAUUCUCUCCUGAGAUAGAAACCUUCCCCAGAGAGAAGUUUACCAGUAGCUCCUGUAAAGAAGAGGCACCUGAGGAGCAUGAGAGAAAAGCUGGUAUUAUAUCUGGAACCAGCUCUGUGUACCUCUGGGAGAAUAAUGUCAGCUCUUGGCAAAAACAGGCAUGUUCCUAAAAUUGUUCAUCUGGACCUUAAAAUUUCUAGGAUAUGAAAUGCAGAAUAGGAUAAGAGAAGCAAGAGAUGAAGGCUAUCUACAGAAUUUUCUUCGUUUCCCUGCAAGCGAAGGCUAUGGCUUUACACACUUGGCCUCUGAAAAGUAUAUGUCAGUUGCUGGACAGAUUAAUUGCUUUGUGUGAAGCAAGAGAAAUGUUGAUGCUUCAUCCAGUUUUUUGUUUGUGUUUGAAGGAAGACCUCCAAGCAACAAAAGCAUUCAUCUGGACUUUUACACCAGUAGAUGACUGUUGAACGCAUAUUCUCUGUCACUCUCUAUGUGUGUAUUUAGUACUAGGCAAUAAAAGAUAAGCUGAGAGACUUGCAAGCAUUAUCAUAUGAUACGAGAAUCACUUUUUUAAGCAAACUGGUCCUGGAAUUUGGGCAUCUUUACUUUUCUAUUCAUAAAUCUACUAAGUCUUCUAAGGCCUCCGAGUGUUUAUCACUCGCAUUAGGUCCUCUCUAUACAUAUGGUCCUUAGAAAAUGAAGCUCUGAGUAUUUGUUUCAGGUUCCAGCUGCUCCACUUUUUGUUGUGAAAAGUGUGCUCAGACUCAUUAAAUCUGCAGGGCUUGGAAGCUGUCCUUGUGGUUACACCACAGACAAUAUUGCAUGCGAGACCCAAGUGCUGUAACACUUUGGCAUGAGGCACAGUGCAUGCAAGAAUGUAGCAGCAGUCCCAGAAAUGACUCUAACACAUCUCCUGUUUUUCAGCUGCAGACAAAAAGGUGCUUUUUAGAAAAGUCAGAAGCUAAACAGAUGUCCUCGGAGAAGCUGAAGAUGGAAAUAUUUCUCAAGUGAACAAUUUCACUUGCAAUAUGGGGACUGCUUUGGUAGGUUUCUUGAGUGACCAGCAACUUUUCUACAGGUCAUGGGGUGCAGAGCUGCCUUGCUAUUUUCUGCCCUGAGUUACGUGGGUAAAACAUGAUACAGGGCUUGAUGCUGAAUGUUUAAACACAUAGAGGAUGAAGUCCUAUGGGCUACAUUUCUCUAGGCCAAGAGGGGACUGUCCUUUUAUGAACACGCAUAAGUCAGCUAUGCUACUGCGCCACUUCAGUUGCUUCCAACUAUAAGCAGAAAUCCAGAGGCUGUUUGAAAUUCAUGAACCAGAUGCUUAUGAACCUUUUUUCAGAGAAGUCAAGUUGCAAGUGCCAGUAAAUAGCAGAUAAAGUAGAAGCAACUUCUGUGCCACUUUUGAUGGAUGGCAGGGAAAAGCAGAAGGAAAUAUUAAGUAAGAAAUUAUUAGUUGGUGAAGGGGGGGAAAAAAGAAGGAAUCUUUUCAUUUCCUUUAAGCUUGCUCGUUUCUUGAAUUUAACACAGCUAACCUGAAAUAUAUAUUUUUUGAACUCUGCUUCUCAUUUGCUUUUGCAUUGCUUUCAUCUUGAGUGCGAAAUUCCAAGUUACUGUGAAAAAGCUGCCCUAGGAAUAUUCUUGGCACUACUGCAAGCAGAAAGUACAGGAAACCUCACAAGAGAGUUUGUUCCAGCAACACUGCCAUCCACGUUUCACAGCUGCAAGGACAUUCAAAGUAAAGCUAAACACCUUCCUUUCCCUUACACAAAAUCUUGCUGAAGUAAAAGUACCUAGGACCAGAAAAGUUUAAUUAAGCUAUGGCACAAUCACAAUCUGCUGAAAUAAAAGGGGGAAAAAAGUCAUCCAUGAAAAAACUUUCACAAACUAAACUGGGGCCAAGAUAGUAUAACCCAGUUACUGCAUGUCACGCUGGCCAGCAGGCAAAGCAGGAAAGCAAAGGGGAAAGAUUUUUAUAGGCACACAUUUCUCUGCCAUUUCUUGUAGCCACUUUUGGCAAAUAUCAGUAAGUGAAGAAGAGCCGGUGCAGUAAUGACUGUUGGAAAGAGGAAGGCAGCAUUGUCUCUCAUUGGCCUCAAGCGCUGUUUCAUACCACCACUUCAGUUCUGUUGUGUCAGUGAUGUUUUUUAGGAUGCGCUGUUUAUAACUGAUCAUGGGGUAACUUUCUGAAAGCGUAUAUAAGUGAAGAAACAGAGGGUAUAUGUUUAUGGGGUGGUUAACCCUUCAAUACAGGAGGCAUCAGCUGCUAAGUGUUACUGCACAGGUAUAUUGAAUUCAACAGGCAAUAGAUGAAGUCUGUCUCUGGUUCAAGAUCUUAACUAUCAGCUUAAGCUCUAUGUCCCAUCUAAAACAUCUGUGAGACAGAAGGGGUCCUGACACCCCAUUUUGACCUGGGGAAUAUUCCAGAGAAGACACCACAGAGGACACGUAAGACUGUAUUGUGAAGACCUGGCUUCAAGCCCUCUGAACAGGCCAAGCCAUGUUGAUUCUGCCAUUAAAAUACAGAAACCUUCAGUGCUGAAACAGUAUUAGAGUUUAAAGGGAAUAAAUGUGAUUCAGAGCUUCAUUAGCUGAUUUUACAUUGUGUUUAACUGCUGUCUUCCUUGAAUGACACAGAAACUCAGCUUUGGCUUUUAUGUAGUGUGCUAGUUUUCAAUAUGCUCCUCAGGCUUUCCCCAAAGGAAAGAUAAUACUGCCAAAGAUAUAUGGAGAAAUACAUUGGUAUAGUUGCUUUUCUGUUUGUUUUUAAUGUAAAGUUUUGCUUCAAUCUUGCUGUGUAACUAACACUUUUAAGUUAAUUAUUUUUAGAAUUAUUUUGCUUUUAGGCAGUAGAUGUCUUAUUUCUUGGUAUUACUGAAUUUUUCUCAGUUAUUUAUUGGAAUUGACAAAUCUUUGUUUCUAGUCCUGGCAAAUGUAAUAACCACAUUACCCUGAAUUUGCUAUUCAACCCACUUGUGUUCAUUUAGGGAAAAUUAUCCAAGAGGUCUGCUACAGUUAAAAAAAAUCUAUAUAACAUCAUGAAUGUGUAUAUGUGUGAACAGUGAGACAUAUCAGGAAAUAUUUUAUCAGUCAUUUUUAGGUAGAACUCCAACUUAUUAUUUUGUAAAAUAUAAUACUGGAAUAAUUAUUUGGGACCGAUGUCACCAGUCAAAUUAAGUGCUGAGUAAAACUUCUGUGAAAAUGCAGAGAUCUGGCUCAAUAAAUUAGAUUGCUUUAGUACUAACAAGAAAAAAAAAGCUAUAAAUGGACAAAUUCUAGGCUGGUGAAUUCACUGUAAGUAAAAUGUAAUUUCUAAGUAAGAAUGACUGCUGAUGGGCUAGAGUCUAACUGGCACAGUGUUCAGAAACAAAAAGCUGGCCUCAGUGUUAACAGUAAAUCAAGUAUAGAAAUAUGAUUUUGGUACAGCUCUGUUCCAACUUUUGAGAAUAAAACACUGACUCCAACAAGGCAUCCUGGAGCCUGCCUUUGCUUUGUGAUGCCUCUGCUCCAGUUUGGUUCAGAGGGAAGUUAACUAAGAGCAAUGAAUCUAACUAAGCUAGGUCAAAGGAUUGUGUCAAACUCUGUAGUAAGUAUAAAUGGAAGAAAAGUGAACUAAUAUGCUUCUAAGACAGCGUGUGCAAAUAUUUUAAACCUAAGAAAAAGUAUAAAUGUGUUCUUGAGGUGUUACAAGAAUAGGAGAUAAAAUUUUCUUGCAAAGAAUGAAUUUCAAACAGAAAAUGGUAAUCA